CCGAGAAUAGCUCAGCGGUAGAGCGGGAGACUGUAGUUGUCUAAUCUGUUAUCUCUAGGUCCCUGGUUCAAAUCCGGGUUCUCGGA